rfam:Brugia malayi, FR3, WGS project CAPY01000000 data, contig: ctg1509636
GUCGGUGUGGCUCAGUCGGUAGAGCAUCAGCUUGUGGUACUGAGUGCGGCUAGUUCGGCUCUGCUCACUCUCU